UACAGAGGUCUCAAGCGUUGUUCGGAUUCAUUGGGCGUAAAGGGUGCGUAGGCGGCGCGGUAAGUCGGGUGUGAAAUCUCGGAGCUUAACUCCGAAACUGCAUUCGAUACUGCCGUGCUUGAGGACUGGAGAGGAGACUGGAAUUUACGGUGUAGCGGUGAAAUGCGUAGAUAUCGUAAGGAAGACCAGUGGCGAAGGCGGGUCUCUGGGCAGUAACUGACGCUGAGAAGCGAAAGCGUGGGUAGCGAACAGG
rnacentral:rRNA from 1 species